UACGUAGGGGGCGAGCGUUGUCCGGAUUUAUUGGGCGUAAAGAGCUCGUAGGCGGUUCGAUAAGUCGGACGUGAAAUCUCCACGCUCAACGUGGAGGGGCCGUUCGAUACUGUCGUGACUCGAGUCCGGUAGGGGAGUGUGGAAUUCCCGGUGUAGCGGUGAAAUGCGUAGAUAUAGGGAAGAACACCAAUCAGGCGAAGGCAGUUAACUAUUCUAUUCCUGACAUUGAGGCAUGAAAGCGUGGGGAGCAAAACGG
rnacentral:rRNA from 1 species